AAACAGCAAAGAGCAGUUUUAUCAUCGAUGAGUAUUAUGUAGAUUUAAGGCCAAUUCGGGUAUUUACUGGUAGUACUCGAACCGCAAAUGCGACAAAUCUUUCGCCAUCACAGUUCGACACGGAGCCAUACUCAAGAACAAGAGUUUCCUGACUUGUUUCAAUCCUUUAUGAGUGCCAUGGAUGUACACAGAGGCCCUCUGUUGGAAUCUUCUUGUUCUUAUUGCUUGAAUGGCCCAGUCGGCGGUAUAUGUGGCGGCAUCUUUUUUUUUUUUGUGAUAUCCCACAAACUGUGUUAUUUUUUAAAUCUUUUUCCCAAAGAUUUUUUUUGGGGAAGUUGUCUGUGAAGGAG
rnacentral:lncRNA from 1 species